UACGUAGGUGGCAAGCGUUAUCCGGAAUUAUUGGGCGUAAAGAGCGCGCAGGUGGUUAAUUAAGUCUGAUGUGAAAUCCUGCGGCUUAACCGCAGAACUGCAUUUGAAACUGUUGAUCUUGAGUACUGGAGAGGCAGACGGAAUUCCUAGUGUAGCGGUGAAAUGCGUAGAUAUUAGGAGGAACACCAGUGGCGAAGGCGGUCUGCUGGACAGCAACUGACGGUGAGGCGCGAAAGCGUGGGGAGCAAACAGG
rnacentral:rRNA from 1 species